UACGUAGGGGGCUAGCGUUAUCCGGAAUUACUGGGCGUAAAGGGUGCGUAGGCGGUCUUUCAAGCCAGAAGUGAAAGGCUACGGCUCAACCGUAGUAAGCUUUUGGAACUGUAAGACUUGAGUGCAGGAGAGGAGAGUGGAAUUCCUAGUGUAGCGGUGAAAUGCGUAGAUAUUUGGAGGAACACCAGUGGCGAAGGCGACUCUUUGGUCUAUUACUGACGCUGAGGUACGAAAGCAUGGGUAGCAAACAGGAUUAGAUACCCUGGUAGUCCCUGA
rnacentral:rRNA from 1 species